rnacentral:sRNA from 1 species
UAAAGCUUAUGGUAGACAUAUCAGUUGUC